CUACGUGCCAGCAGCCGCGGUAAUACGUAGGUGGCAAGCGUUGUCCGGAAUUAUUGGGCGUAAAGCGCGCGCAGGCGGAUUGGUCAGUCUGUCUUAAAAGUUCGGGGCUUAACCCCGUGAUGGGAUGGAAACUGCCAAUCUAGAGUAUCGGAGAGGAAAGUGGAAUUCCUAGUGUAGCGGUGAAAUGCGCAGAUAUCAGGAAGAACACCGGUGGCGAAGGCGGGUCUCUGGGCCGUUACUGACGCUGAGGAGCGAAAGCGUGGGGAGCGAACAGGAUUAGAUACCCUGGUAGUCCACGCCGUAAACGAUGAGUGCUAGGUGUUAGACCCUUUCCGGGGUUUAGUGCCGCAGCUAACGCAUUAAGCACUCCGCCUGGGGAGUACGACCGCAAGGUUGAAACUCAAAGGAAUUGACGGGGGCCCGCACAAGCGGUGGAGCAUGUGGUUUAAUUCGAAGCAACGCGAAGAACCUUACCAGGUCUUGACAUCCCUCUGACCGCUCUAGAGAUGGAGAUUUC
rnacentral:rRNA from 1 species